CUGCAGAUAUCCGCAUCCCCGGGUAUAAAUUUGUGUCUGUGCAGGGCUCUAGUCAUGGAACAUUUUUUGUGAGCGGGGUCAGGGGUCGGUACUGUACCAGUAAGAUUGAAACUCUACUUGCACCACUGCCUUUAACAUAUUUAUUAGUGCCUGGGGAAGAGAGUAAAUGGUGAUGUGCUAAAAUUUUGGAAUGAUGCUGAAUUUUUUAGGUUACUCACGGCUAGAAGCAGGUGUUAGGAGCUUCAGAAGGACCAAACAAAACUAGAUAAUGUGAUGAGAAAUGACAUUCCAUGCAGAUAAGGGCAAACUCAGAAGAAACAAUCAGUAUUCACGUUGUGACCACUCUGAAAAAAGAUUUGAGUCCUUGUUUGUACAGAGCCUAGCACAAUGGGAUUCUGGUCCAUGAUGAGGGCUCCUAGGCAUUAUGAUAAUACAAAAAAUAAAAAAGGUGCCUUAUACUGCUAUAAUUCUUCCCCUUUCCAUGUGGGAAUAGCUGUACCUAUAUAAAGGACCUUUAUACCAAGGUAGCAGGAUCUAUAUUGCUGGGGUUGUACUGCUUUAACUAGACUGAGAGAGGUUUUAAAAGUGCAACUUUCUAGUGUGGACUAGCCCAAUUGUUCGGCUGCUUUCUGAAAGAGAGGCUGUAGGGCAAAACCUGAUGGUUGCAAAGCUUAGGCUCAGCCUGAUCUUUAUCAGUUGCUGUUUCACAGCCGACCCACAGACACUGGGCUGCUCACCCAUUCGAGUCUAGCCUCCCUGGACUUGACUAGCCAUAGUGUUGCUCUGAAGUGCAGCUGCUGGGAAGCGGGGAGGGGAAAGAGAGGUGGUGUUUGAGAACAAAACAGAACACUACAAUCCUACUAACGCCUGGCAUUUAUAGAGUGUUUUCCUUUUGCUUUGCUGAGCUAACCGAGCAGUGAGUAGUCUGUUAUAGUAUUGAUUCAAUUCUUAGAGAAAUAAUCAUCAAUUACUUUCAGAUCCUGUAAAGGAAUGUGUAAUUCUGUUCUGAUUUCCAAGUACGUUUUAUAAUCCUGAUUUUUUUUUUUUUUUGGUUCUCAAUGCAGUGAUUAAGGAAGAGUGCUUGCUGAAUAGUAAUAAUAGGUCAGGCUUGACUCAGAAGCACGAAAAUAUUGUAUCAUUUAUAUCAGGCAUCAGAAGUCUUCAGGAAUCUGUUUCUGAAUGAUGAGCCAGCAGCCUGAAGACCCUUGGAGUUGAUUUGCUCCAAAAGCAAAAUGCCAGGCUUCAUCACACUGAGGAAUAUCAUGACAACACCAGUCUGAUUGUGAGACGAGGGCAGGUGUUUCAGUUAAAGCUGACCUUUGACCGGGAGCUGAAAGAUAAUGACAAAGUGGUGGUGCAGCUCAGUGUCGGUGAGAAACCAAUGGAAUCCAAUGAGACCCUUUUGUCAAUGAACCUGAGGUCUGGGCAGGACUCCCAGUGCUGGUGUGCCAACAUCUCUAACACCAAUGGGAAGGAGUGCCUAGUAACUGUGACCAGUCCAGCAGAUGCAGCUGUUGGAAAAUACUUUCUGAGUGUGAAAACUGGAUCUCACAUUUAUAACCCUGGAAACAAAGUUGUCUACGUGUUGUUCAACCCUUGGUGUGGAGCUGACACAGUUUUCAUGCCUAAUGAUCCUGAAAGAUUGGAAUACGUUCUCAGUGACACAGGCUACAUCUAUGUUGGAUCAAUACAAAAUAUAGUUGGAAGACCCUGGAAUUUUGGACAGUUUGAGGAAGACGUCUUGGACUGCUGUAUGUAUCUCCUGGACAAAAGUAAACUCAAGCAUAAAGUUAGAAAAGAUCCUGUGAUUGUGUCCAGAGCCAUGUCUGCUUUGGUUAAUUCCAAUGAUGACUCAGGAGUCCUUUUUGGGAACUGGUCAGGAAUUUAUACUGGUGGAACUGCCCCCAUGGCCUGGACAGGAAGUGCCCUAAUUUUGCAGAAAUACUACAAAACAAAAAAACCCAUCUGCUUUGGUCAGUGCUGGGUUUUCUCCGGAGUUUUUACUACAGUCAUGCGCUGCUUGGGGAUUCCAGCCAGAAGUGUGACUAACUUCGCUUCAGCUCACGAUACUGAGGAAAAUCUGAAAGUUGACAUCUACCUGAAUGAAAGGGGCGAAAAACUGGAUGACAUGACAUCAGACUCUGUCUGGAAUUUUCACGUGUGGACUGAUGUGUGGAUGAAAAGGCCAGACUUGCCCCAGGGUUUUGAUGGCUGGCAGGCAGUUGAUGCCACCCCACAGGAGAUAAGUCAAGGUGUUUACCAGUGCGGCCCUUGUCCACUAAAAGCCAUAAGAAGUGGAGAAGUCUAUUUGCUGUACGACUCCAAGUUUGUGUUUGCUGAAGUGAAUGCUGACAUGGUCUUCUGGCAAGUGAAGAACGUGAAUGGCAAACAGAAACUUGUCAAACUGCGUGAGGAGGCCAAGGCCAUUGGGAAGAGCAUCAGCACCAAAGCUGUUGGGAAGAACACAAGGGAAGACAUUACGGCACAGUACAAAUUCCCAGAAGGCUCUCCAGAGGAAAGGAAAGCUGUGGAAAAGGCUUGCUCCUAUCUGAACUCUUCAAAUUUGGCAGUUAGUCAGAGCACAACUCCGCUUCCACCCGUCCAGGCUGGGAUCCAACUGGAAGUAGAGAACGAAAAAGCUUUAUGGCUGGGCAAUCCCAUUAAUCUGAACAUCAUUGUACAAAACAGCUCUGCUGGUGCGUGGACGAUCAAUCUCGUUGCCUCUUGCCAACUGCAGUCCUACACCGGGAAAAUAGAGGCCAAUCUUGGAUCCAUCAAACAGAUUGUCCAGACUGAAGGCAAACCUGUUAUUCAGCUCCCUCUGAAUAUUGCAACUGAUGCUUAUAUGAAGACUGUAACAUCUGUUGAGGAUGAACUUCUCAUACAAGUCAAUAUUAUUGCUGAGAUUCAGGAAACUAAUGAAAAGCUCACUGAUGAGAUCACACUAACAUUCCAAUAUCCCCCUCUCAAGGUGGAGAUGCCAGAAACUGUAAAGAUUAAUGAAGAUUUUACCUGCUCCUUUAUCUUCAAAAAUACCUUGUCUAUUCCCUUGGAAAAGUGCAAAUUGCAUGUAGAAGGACUGGGCAUUUUUAAAAUGGAAACAAUUGAUCAAGGCCUUAUCAGAGUGUGGGAUGGUCUGCCAAGGAAAGUGGAGGAAGCCACAUCUCUGGAGACAGUGAAAAGAAACCUAGGGCUAAAUACACAAGGGCAUUUAGGCAUUGGCAUGCCGGACUUCAAGGCAGCCUGCCGCCUGAUGGAGUCCACAGCCCCGAGUUAGGCCCCAGACCCCCACCAUACAAUGCAUGAGGAGAGUUAGGUGCCUAAGAAGGGGAUUCACAGAAGCCAGCACACUGAGUGGAGAGCUACCUAAGUGAGCAAAGACAUAAUGCCUGGUAGGAUCAUUAAAUCCCAAAUAAUAUGUGCUCCAAAUAAAACAGGAGAGA